rnacentral:snRNA from 1 species
AUGCUGCCUUGGGCAGCACAUACACUAAAAUUGGAACAAUGCAGAGAAGAUCAGCAUGACCCCUGGGCAAGGAUGAUUAUGAGCAGUCCAUAUUUUGU